AGAGUUUGAUCCUGGCUCAGGAUGAACGCUGGCGGCGUGCCUAACACAUGCAAGUCGAACGAAGCACUGUAAACGGAGAUUCGUCGAAGUUUACUUUGACUUAGUGGCGGACGGGUGAGUAAUGUAUGAGCAACCUGCCUUUCAGUGGGGGACAACAGUUGGAAACGACUGCUAAUACCGCAUGAAGUCAUUUGGGGGCAUCCCCGAAUGACCAAAGGAUUUAUUCGCUGAAAGAUGGGCUCAUAUCUGAUUAGAUAGUUGGCGGGGUAACGGCCCACCAAGUCGACGAUCAGUAGCCGGACUGAGAGGUUGAACGGCCACAUUGGGACUGAGAUACGGCCCAGACUCCUACGGGAGGCAGCAGUGGGGAAUAUUGGGCAAUGGGGGAAACCCUGACCCAGCAACGCCGCGUGAAGGAAGAAGGCUUUCGGGUUGUAAACUUCUUUUACCAGGGACGAAGGACGUGACGGUACCUGGAGAAAAAGCCACGGCUAACUACGUGCCAGCAGCCGCGGUAAUACGUAGGUGGCAAGCGUUGUCCGGAAUUACUGGGUGUAAAGGGCGUGUAGGCGGAGCGGCAAGUCAGAAGUGAAAUCUCCGGGCUUAACCCGGAAACUGCUUUUGAAACUGUCGCCCUUGAGUAUCGGAGAGGCAGGCGGAAUUCCUAGUGUAGCGGUGAAAUGCGUAGAUAUUAGGAGGAACACCAGUGGCGAAGGCGGCCUGCUGGACGACAACUGACGCUGAGGCGCGAAAGCGUGGGGAGCAAACAGGAUUAGAUACCCUGGUAGUCCACGCCGUAAACGAUGGAACCAGGUGUGGGGGGACUGCCCCCCUCCGUGCGGCAGUCAAACACAAUAAGUAUCCCACCUGGGGAGUACGAUCGCAAGAUUGAAACUCAAAGGGAAUUGACGGGGGCCCGCACAAGCAGCGGAGCAUGUGGUUUAAUUUGACGCAACGCGAAGAACCUUACCAGGUCUUGACAUCCAGUUAAAGCCGUAGAGAUACGGUGUGUGCUUGCACAAACUGAGACAGGUGGUGCAUGGUUGUUGUCAGCUCGUGUCGUGAGAUGUUGGGUUAAGUCCCGCAACGAGCGCAACCCUUACUGAUAGUUACUAACGUGUGAUGGCGAGGACUCUAUUAGGACUGCCGGGGACAACUCGGAGGAAGGUGGGGACGACGUCAAAUCAUCAUGCCCCUUAUGACCUGGGCUACACACGUGCUACAAUGGCCGUUACAGAGAGGAGCGAAGUCGUAAGGCUGAGCAGAUCUCAAAAAAGCGGUCUCAGUUCGGAUUGUGGGCUGCAACCCGCCCACAUGAAGUCGGAGUUGCUAGUAAUCGCGGAUCAGCAUGCCGCGGUGAAUACGUUCCCGGGCCUUGUACUCACCGCCCGUCA
rnacentral:rRNA from 1 species